rnacentral:rRNA from 1 species
AUGUCGCCUUCCCUCUUCUCCCCGCUCGCCUUGGCCGCCUCCUCUCCUCCGCCUUGUUGUCGGCCCCCUCCCUCCUCCUACCUCCUCCUCCCUCCUCUCAGUCCCGUGCCAGCCUCCGCCCAAACGCUAGCCCCCGUUUCCCCCGAUCCCCAUAGUAACCGCAUCCACAGCCACCCGCUCCUUCUCAGAAUCGCUGCACCAUUCCUGCCUUCCGCCCCCUCCUCCUUCCCGGAUCCCCACCACGGUGCCGACCUGCAGGCAAAGGGCGACGAAGGGUGGCGGACGAGGACAAAGGAGGCCGGCGGCGAGGCCUAA